AGGCAACAAAGUUUCAUUGUCUUUUGAUGCAAGCCCACACAUUCCAGGCACAGAUGUGCACAGUGGGGCAACUACUGAAAAGCAGACAAGAAGCCACUCUGUCACCAGCAUUGGGCCUGGCGCCAGGCGUCUUCCUUUCUUCGAACCCAUGACGGGGCUGAGGCCCUCAGAAGUGAGUCAUGGAGGAACGCAGGCAUCUGCCCACGGAGGGAGACCCAUUUACUCAGGGAAAAUAUCUGCAGGCAGUCUUUGUGCUUUGCUGUGCCAGAAGCUGUUAAGCCUGAUUCACACCACUGCCACUGUGGGACUGAACCCCCGCUGACGACAAAAAGAGCACAGGGAAGAAGCGAAAAUAGCUUAUUUUCAAUGACUUGCUGAAAACUCCCAGAUGUGAGCUGCGAUGGCCGUGUGGUGCACACAUUUGGGCUCUGAGUAUGGAUGUUCUCUCUAAAUAUCCCCCUGCUGCUCAGCAAAUUGAGGCCAACUGGGAAACAUCUCCCGAAAGAUUACCAGCCUGGAUCAGGGCAAUCCAGCCAGCAAGGCAGAUGUUCAUUCCUCUCUUCAAGUCUGUGGGAAUAAGAUUCUGGCAUUUGCUAUGUACCAGGCAGUGUGCUACGCAUGGAGUAACUAAGAAAAAAAAAAAAAUGCAGCGCCUGCUCUCAAGCAGCUCACAGCUAAUGAAGCAACAGUCAAGUAAAGUGGCAGUGACAAAGCAGUGAAUAUGGAAAGGAAGGACGCAGGAAGCAUGGAGCCAGGCAUCAGGGAAGAUGUCCCAGAGAAGGGGCACCUGCGCUGGCUCCUGGGGGUUUACAGCGACUCCACACCACCAAGGAUGGGGGACCAUUCUUCCACCCACAGCAACAAUCCUGACCCUCCCAGAAUCUCCAACAAGAUCCUCAGCUCUUCUUGGAAGAUAAUUUGACCACAUGAGCCAGGAAUCACCGCUGUUAUGAGCUGAAUGUUUGUGUCUUCCCCCAAGUUCAAUAUGUUGAAAUCCUAACCUCCAACGUGAUGGUCUUGGGAGGUGGGGCCUUUGGGAGGUGAUUAGGGCAUGAGGGUGGAGCCCUCAUAAACGAGAGUAGCGCCCUCAUGAAAG
rnacentral:lncRNA from 1 species